rnacentral:lncRNA from 1 species
AACUAGUGUUUAUGAUUCUCGAGCACGAGAAAGAUUGCGCCAGAUUGAAGAACAGAAGGCAUUGGCCUUACAGCUUCAAAACCAGAGAUUGCAGGAGCGGGAACAUUCAGUACAUGAUUCAGUAGAACUACAUCUUCGUGUACCUCUUGAAAAGGAGAUUCCUGUUACUGUUGUCCAAGAAACACAAAAAAAAGGUCAUAAAUUAACUGAUAGUGAAGAUGAAUUUCCUGAAAUUACAGAGGAAAUGGAGAAAGAAAUAAAGAAUGUAUUUCGUAAUGGGAAUCAGGAUGAAGUUCUCAGUGAAGCAUUUCGCCUGACCAUUACACGCAAAGAUAUUCAAACUCUAAACCAUCUGAAUUGGCUCAAUGAUGAGGUAAUGUUGCAUCUAUUUUUACAUACAAAUAGUAAACAUUAAGUGGCAGUUAAAUUAAGGCAUUAUCUCACUUUUUCUC